GAGAACAUGGCUCAGUGGCAUGGUACUUGCCUUGUAAGUAUGAAGUCCUGGGCUUGAUUCCCAGUAUCAUCA
rnacentral:tRNA from 1 species